UAAUACCGGAUACGACCUUCCGCCUCAUGGUGGAGGGUGGAAAGUUUUUUCGGUCAGGGAUGGGCUCGCGGCCUAUCAGCUUGUUGGUGGGGUAACGGCCUACCAAGGCGAUUACGGGUAGCCGGCCUGAGAGGGCGACCGGCCACACUGGGACUGAGACACGGCCCAGACUCCUGCGGGAGGCAGCAGUGGGGAAUAUUGCGCAAUGGGCGAAAGCCUGACGCAGCGACGCCGCGUGGGGGAUGACGGCCUUCGGGUUGUAAACCUCUUUUACCACCAACGCAGGCUCCGGGUUCUCUCGGGGUUGACGGUAGGUGGGGAAUAAGGACCGGCUAACUACGUGCCAGCAGCCGCGGUAAUACGUAGGGUCCGAGCGUUGUCCGGAAUUAUUGGGCGUAAAGAGCUCGUAGGCGGCGUGUCGCGUCUGCUGUGAAAGACCGGGGCUUAACUCCGGUUCUGCAGUGGAUACGGGCAUGCUAGAGGUAGGUAGGGGAGACUGGAAUUCCUGGUGUAGCGGUGAAAUGCGCAG
rnacentral:rRNA from 1 species